AGAGUUUGAUCUGGCUCAGAUUGAACGCUGGCGGCAUGCCUUACACAUGCAAGUCGAACGACGCUAGGGGCAACUCUAGCGAGUGGCGUACGGGUGAGUAAUGCAUCGGAACGUGUCCUCUUGUGGGGGAUAACCAGUCGAAAGAUUGGCUAAUACCGCAUGAGCUCGAGAGAGGAAAGCGGGGGAUCCGCAAGGACCUCGCGCGAGAGGAGCGGCCGAUGCCCGAUUAGCUAGUUGGUGGGGUAAAAGCCCACCAAGGCGACGAUCGGUAGCUGGUCUGAGAGGACGACCAGCCACACUGGGACUGAGACACGGCCCAGACUCCUACGGGAGGCAGCAGUGGGGAAUUUUGGACAAUGGGGGCAACCCUGAUCCAGCCAUGCCGCGUGUGUGAAGAAGGCCUUCGGGUUGUAAAGCACCUUCGGACGGAACGAAAUCGCGCGGGUUAACAGCCCGCGUGGAUGACGGUACCGUAAGAAGAAGCACCGGCUAACUACGUGCCAGCAGCCGCGGUA
rnacentral:rRNA from 1 species